rnacentral:tRNA from 1 species
UGGGGUAUCGCCAAGCGGUAAGGCACCGGAUUCUGAUUCCGGCAUUCCGAGCUUCGAAUCCUCGUACCCCAGCCA